rnacentral:lncRNA from 1 species
AGACAAAUAAAUAAAUAGUGGGUAACUGGGGUUUAAAGAUUUAUGGGGGCGAAACCUUCCAUUUCAGCUGUGACCCUCCCUGCUAGGAUUGACUUAACCCCUCACCCGCUGGUCUCACCCGAGCCCAUCCCCGGCCAGGACAGGCGCUCAGCUCUGGAACCCAUCAUGGCGAUUCUCCUGUUUACAGAACCUGAAUCCAGCCGCCCAACAGAAACUUCCCAGAUCCCCGGGCAGGUUUCCCUCCCCGCAGCAAUUUUUACUGCUGAGCAGUCGUAAUUGCAGUGUUUACUGGGUCUCCACAGUCAAAUUAGAUCUAUUCUGUCCAGAAAACAGAUAUUUCAAAGACUUGUCAGGACACGAAACACUCUCUACACAGUGAUCCCACGUGUGUUAAAGACAACAAUAUAGGCAACAAAAGCAAACCUAGAAACAUAAACCAACUGAAACAAAAUAUGAAAACUGGUAUAUUUGGAAUUACAUGUGCCAUGGUGCCCCUAUGGCUUAUUUUUAAGUGGUAGGAUGCUGUUUUCUGUUUUAUUUGGGGGGUGGGGAGGGCUAUCUGUCAGUUUAAAUUUUUUUCAGUGAGAUCAGAU